rnacentral:rRNA from 1 species
UACGUAGGGGGCAAGCGUUGUCCGGAAUCAUUGGGCGUAGAGAGCGUGUAGGCGGCCCGAUAAGUCCGCUGUGAAAGUCCAGGGCUCAACCCUGGGAUGCCGGUCGAUACUGCCGGACUAGAGUUUGGAAGAGGCGAGUGGAAUUCCCGGUGUAGCGGUGAAAUGCGCAGAUAUCGGGAGGAACACCAAUGGCGAAGGCAGCUCGCUGGGACGUUACUGACGCUGAGACGCGAAAGCGUGGGGAGCAAACAGG